AGUGAACGCUGGCGGUAGACCUAACACAUGCAAGUCGAACGGCAGCACAGUAAGAGCUUGCUCUUACGGGUGGCGAGUGGCGGACGGGUGAGGAAUACAUCGGAAUCUACUUUUUCGUGGGGGAUAACGUAGGGAAACUUACGCUAAUACCGCAUACGACCUACGGGUGAAAGCAGGGGAUCUUCGGACCUUGCGCGAUUGAAUGAGCCGAUGUCGGAUUAGCUAGUUGGCGGGGUAAAGGCCCACCAAGGCGACGAUCCGUAGCUGGUCUGAGAGGAUGAUCAGCCACACUGGAACUGAGACACGGUCCAGACUCCUACGGGAGGCAGCAGUGGGGAAUAUUGGACAAUGGGCGCAAGCCUGAUCCAGCCAUACCGCGUGGGUGAAGAAGGCCUUCGGGUUGCAAAGCCCUUUUGUUGGGAAAGAAAAGCAGCAGGUUAAUACCCCGCUGUUCUGACGGUACCCAAAGAAUAAGCACCGGCUAACUUCGUG
rnacentral:rRNA from 1 species